UGGAUGAUGUGGUUAAUUCGAUGCAACGACGAAAACCUUACCCACCUUGACGUGUACGGAAUCCUUAGAGAUAGAGGAGUGCUCGAAAGAGAGCCGUAACACAGGUGCUGCAUGGCUGUCGUCAGCUCGUGUCGUGAGAUGUUGGGUUAAGUCCCGCAACGAGCGCAACCCUUGUCAUUAGUUGCUACGAAAGGGCACUCUAAUGAGACUGCCGGUGACAAACCGGAGGAAAGGUGGGGAUGACGUCAAGUCCUCAUGGCCCUUAUAGGUGGGGCUACACACGUCAUACAAUGGCUGGUACAAAGGGUUGCCAACCCGCGAGGGGGAGCCAAUCCCAUAAAGCCAGUCGUAGUCCGGAUCGCAGUCUGCAACUCGACUGCGUGAAGUCGGAAUCGCUAGUAAUCGUGGAUCAGCAUGUCACGGUGAAUACGUUCCCGGGUCUU
rnacentral:rRNA from 1 species